UGGGGAAUCUUGCGCAAUGGGCGAAAGCCUGACGCAGCAACGCCGCGUGAGCGAAGAAGGCCUUCGGGUUGUAAAGCUCUGUCAGGGGGAAAGAAGGCACCUGGGUUAAUAGCCCAAGGGCUGACGGUACCUCCAAAGGAAGCCACGGCUGACUACGUGCCAGCAGCCGCGGUAAUACGUAGGUGGCAAGCGUUGUCCGGAAUCAUUGGGCGUAAAGAGCGUGUAGGUGGCUUGUCAGGUCCGAUGUGAAAACCUGGGGCUCAACUCCAGGCCUGCAUCAGAAACCGGCUUGCUAGAGUCUGGGAGAGGAGAGUGGAAUUCCUGGUGUAGCGGUGAAAUGCGUAGAUAUCAGGAGGAACACCGGUAGCGAAGGCGGCUCUCUGGAACAGCACUGACGCUGAGGCGCGAAAGCUAGGGGAGCGAACAG
rnacentral:rRNA from 1 species